rnacentral:rRNA from 1 species
UGGGGAAUUUUGGACAAUGGGCGAAAGCCUGAUCCAGCAAUGCCGCGUGUGUGAAGAAGGCCUUCGGGUUGUAAAGCACUUUUGUCCGGAAAGAAAUCCUUGGCUCUAAUACAGUCGGGGGAUGACGGUACCGGAAGAAUAAGCACCGGCUAACUACGUGCCAGCAGCCGCGGUAAUACGUAGGGUGCAAGCGUUAAUCGGAAUUACUGGGCGUAAGGCGUGCGCAGGCGGUUUGCUAAGACCGAUGUGAAAUCCCCGGGCUCAACCUGGGAACUGCAUUGGUGACUGGCAGGCUAGAGUAUGGCAGAGGGGGGUAGAAUUCCACGUGUAGCAGUGAAAUGCGUAGAGAUGUGGAGGAAUACCGAUGGCGAAAGGCAGCCCCCUGGGCCAAAUACUGACGCUCAUGCACGAAAAGCGUGGGGGAGCAAAACAGGAUUAGAUACCCCUGGGUAGUCCACGCCCUAAAACGAUGUCAACUAGUUGUUGGGGAUUCAUUUCCUUAGUAACGUAGCUAACGCGUGAAGUUGACCGCCUGGGGAGUACGGUCGCAAGAUUAAAACUCAAAUGAAUUGACGGGGUCAUAGCUGUUUCCU